rnacentral:rRNA from 1 species
AUUGAACGCUGGCGGCAGGCCUAACACAUGCAAGUCGAGCGGAUGAAGGGAGCUUGCUCCUGGAUUCAGCUGCGGACGGGUGAGUAAUGCCUAGGAAUCUACCUUGUAGUGGGGGAUAACGUCCGUAAACGGGCGCUAAUACCGCAUACGUCCUGAUGGAGAAAGGGGGGGAUCUUCGGACCUCACGCGAUCAGAUGAGCCUAGGUCGGAUUAGCUAGUUGGUGGGGUAAAGGCCUACCAAGGCGACGAUCCGUAACUGGUCUGAGAGGAUGAUCAGUCACACUGGAACUGAGACACGGUCCAGACUCCUACGGGAGGCAGCAGUGGGGAAUAUUGGACAAUGGGCGAAAGCCUGAUCCAGCCAUGCCGCGUGUGUGAAGAAGGUCUUCGGAUUGUAAAGCACUUUAAGUUGGGAGGAAGGGCAGUAAGUUAAUACCUUGCUGUUUUGACGUUACCAACAGAAUAAGCACCGGCUAACUUCGUG